rnacentral:lncRNA from 1 species
CACGGCGUGGUGACCAGUCACGUUCUCAGUGACGGCGCCUAACCUUUAUUACCGAGUCAUCUAUAUAAUAUUCAUAUUCGUGUACACAAAUACAUAUAAAUUUGAUUACGGGAAUUAACGAAACUUUUACAUACUUUUUGGAACGAAUACGCCAACGAAAAUACAUUCGUUCUGUCAUUUGGCAAAAUAUGCGUACGGUCUGCUCAGACAAAUAGUUCCGUUUGGAAGAAAUGUCAUAAAGAAGCACUCAGUACACUCUUCGAUUAGAUGUUUGAUACUGACCAUUAUCUCCAAAUGAAACCAAGCUCUUAAUUUAUCUGAGCAGAUCACACAA